CCUACGGGAGGCAGCAGUAGGGAAUCUUCCACAAUGGACGAAAGCCUGAUGGAGCAACGCCGCGUGAGUGAAGAAGGUUUUCGGCUCGUAAAGCUCUGUUGGUAGUGAAGAAAGAUAGAGGUAGUAACUGGCCUUUAUUUGACGGUACUUACUUAGAAAGUCACGGCUAACUACGUGCCAGCAGCCGCGGUAAUACGUAGGUGGCAAGCGUUGUCCGGAUUUAUUGGGCGUAAAGCGAGUGCAGGCGGUUCGAUAAGUCUGAUGUGAAAGCCUUCGGCUCAACCGGGGAAUUGCAUCAGAAACUGUUGAACUGGAGUGCAGAAGAGGAGAGUGGAACUCCAUGUGUAGCGGUGGAAUGCGUAGAUAUAUGGAAGAACACCAGUGGCGAAGGCGACUCUCUGGUCUGCAACUGACGCUGAGGCGCGAAAGCAUGGGUAGCGAACAGGAUUAGAUACCCUAGUAGUC
rnacentral:rRNA from 1 species